rnacentral:rRNA from 1 species
GCCUGUGAAGGUGUACUGUGAGGUAUGCUGGAGGUAUCAGAAGUGCGAAUGCUGACAUAAGUAACGAUAAAGCGGGUGAAAAGCCCGCUCGCCGGAAGACCAAGGGUUCCUGUCCAACGUUAAUCGGGGCAGGGUGAGUCGACCCCUAAGGCGAGGCCGAAAGGCGUAGUCGAUGGGAAACAGGUUAAUAUUCCUGUACUUGGUGUUACUGCGAAGGGGGGACGGAGAAGGCUAUGUUGGCCGGGCGACGGUUGUCCCGGUUUAAGCGUGUAGGCUGGUUUUCCAGGCAAAUCCGGAAAAUCAAGGCUGAGGCGUGAUGACGAGGCACUACGGUGCUGAAGCAACAAAUGCCCUGCUUCCAGGAAAAGCCUCUAAGCAUCAGGUAACAUCAAAUCGUACCCCAAACCGACACAGGUGGUCAGGUAGAGAAUACCAAGGCGCUUGAGAGAACUCGGGUGAAGGAACUAGGCAAAAUGGUGCCGUAACUUCGGGAGAAGGCACGCUGAUAUGUAGGUGAAGUCCCUCGCGGAUGGAGCUGAAAUCAGUCGAAGAUACCAGCUGGCUGCAACUGUUUAUUAAAAACACAGCACUGUGCAAACACGAAAGUGGACGUAUACGGUGUGACGCCUGCCCGGUGCCGGAAGGU